ACCGUACUCCUACGGGAGGCAGCAGUGGGGAAUAUUGCACAAUGGGCGAAAGCCUGAUGCAGCAACGCCGCGUGAGGGACGACGGCCUUCGGGUUGUAAACCUCUUUUAGCAGGGAAGAAGCGAAAGUGACGGUACCUGCAGAAAAAGCGCCGGCUAACUACGUGCCAGCAGCCGCGGUAAUACGUAGGGCGCAAGCGUUAUUCGGAAUUAUUGGGCGUAAAGAGCUCGUAGGCGGUUUGUCGCGUCUGCUGUGAAAACUGGAGGCUCAACCUCCAGCCUGCAGUGGGUACGGGCAGACUAGAGUGCGGUAGGGGAGAUUGGAAUUCCUGGUGUAGCGGUGGAAUGCGCAGAUAUCAGGAGGAACACCGAUGGCGAAGGCAGAUCUCUGGGCCGUAACUGACGCUGAGGAGCGAAAGGGUGGGGAGCAAACAGGAUUAGAAACCCUUGUAGUCCUUGAC
rnacentral:rRNA from 1 species